rnacentral:rRNA from 1 species
GACGAACGCUGGCGGCGUGCUUAACACAUGCAAGUCGAACGGUGAAGCGCCUUCCUUUUUGGUGGGUGUGGAUGAGUGGCGAACGGGUGAGUAACACGUGAGUAACCUGCCCCCUUCUUCUGGAUAACCGCAUGAAAGUGUGGCUAAUACGGGAUAUUCUGGGUCUGUCGCAUGAUGGGUCUGGGAAAGAUAUUGUUUCGGUGGGGGAUGGGCUCGCGGCCUAUCAGCUUGUUGGUGGGGUGAUGGCCUACCAAGGCGGUGACGGGUAGCCGGCCUGAGAGGGUGGACGGUCACACUGGGACGGAGACGCGGCCCAGACUCCUACGGGAGGCAGCAGUGAGGAAUAUUGCACAAUGGGCGCAAGCCUGAUGCAGCGACGCCGCGUGAGGGAUGGAGGCCUGCGGGUUGUGAACCUCUUUCGCCAGUGAAGCAGGCCUGCCUCGUUUGUGGGUGGGUUGACGGUAGCUGGAUAAGAAGCGCCGGCUAACUACGUG